GAUGAACGCUGACAGAAUGCUUAACACAUGCAAGUCAACUGUGGCGGACGGGUGAGUAACGCGUAAAGAACUUGCCUCACAGAUAGGGACAACAUUUGGAAACGCAUACUAAUACCUGAUACUGUGAGAGAGCUUUGCGUCCCAUUAGCUAGUUGGAGAGGUAACUGCUCACCCAGGCAAUGAUGGGUAGCCGGCCUGCGAGGGUGAUCGGCCACAAGGGGACCGAGACACGGCCCUGACUCCUCUGGGAGGCAGCAGUGGGGAAUAUUGGACAAUUGACCAAAGUCUGAUACAGCAAUUCUGUGUGAACGAUGAAGUUUUCGGAAUGUAAAGUGCUUUCAGUUGGGAAGCGGUACCAACAGAAGAAGUGACGGCUAAAUACGUGCCAGCAGCCGCGGUAAUUC
rnacentral:rRNA from 1 species